CAGCAGUUGCAGUCUAUAAUAGACUUGUUGAGCCUAGUAUUGGUGAGGUUGGAUGGUUUGGAGCGCCGUAUCAAACAAACUAUGUGAAAAAACUCAUUGUUCCACUUUUAUGGACACAAUUUGUCAUCAGACAUUCACAACCAAAAUAAACCGCAAUAAUCAUCAAGUUAAAUGCGUUAAAUGCGAAUCAAAGACGAUUGAAGGCGCUGAAAAGCCAGCCGACGAGGAAAACGGAAACACCAAAAUCACCUGAACGAAAAUCUACAGCUGGAAAAUCAGAAACGGAUGCACGAAUGGCAACGAAAGAUGGAAAUAAAGAUAAAGAGAUUAUGAUCGAUGAUGACAUGGAUUUGGCUGAUCUUCAUUCUCACAAAAGAUAUGGAGUGAUACAAGUUCUUUAUAGGAGUUAUAUUAAAUCCUCUAACAGU